AGAAUACACUUAGCUACCAGAGUAAGGCAAGUUCUAGGAUUGAGGAAUACAGGACUGAGGUUGACAAAGGAGCAGGAGGGAGUCUUGAAGGGACUUCUCCAAAAAGAUGCCCUGACCUUCCGGGAAACCCUCGGUGAGAGGCCCACAGCCUCGCUUCUAGGGUCACCACUGCUUCUUCCAGUCUAGCCAAACAGCUCCUAGUACAGCUCAGAGCACCCUGCAAGGAGGGCACGUGUUAAAUCGAGGAGCACACAUGCUCCACGAGGAAUUCUUUGCUUUGAGGCCAUGCACAGAGGUGGGUUCACUAUGAAGCUUGUGAAAUAAGCUUCAGGGCCCGCAUUUGCAUGGGCCACAGAGAGUCUGGGAGCUGCAGAAGGUUCAAGGGAAGAGGAGCCAUCACAAGCAGAAUAUUCUAGAAGGCAUUUCUGGCAAAUGGCCCAAAGAGGCCUCAGGAGAAAAGAACUUGAGUCUUCAAGAGGCCUGAGAGAACUUGUUCACCCCUUCUACCACAUGAGGAUGCAAUGAGAAGGCACCAUCUGUGAGGAACAGGCCUCCGACAGACACCGAAUUUGCUGGCACUUUGAUCUUGGACUUCCCAGCCUCCAAAAUUAUCCAUAAUGGAUUCCUGGGACAUUUUCAGAUCUCCUUCCAGCUUCCUCUUCGCCCUUUCCAAGUCCGCCCGCAGUUUCUUCUCCUGCUCUAAGGAACCCUCAAGCUGAGAAGACACACAGAAGACCCAGAAGUCCAGCUUUGAAGAAAACCUGGAGAAAGAGAGAGUCACAAAUCAUCUCCAUACUGCAGGAGAUGCAGAAAUGGCAGAAGAAUAUUGAGUAUCACUUUAGAAUAUAUUAAACAACCUAUCAAGAUUAAUGAGCUUAUUCAGAAAAGAAAAUAAGUCCUGAUCAAUUUCAGCGUGUUUGGACCAGCAGAUUCCAGGUGAUGGAUAGGCAGCUUCAUUUUAAUAGUCUGUUGGUACAGGGUGACCUGUAGCCUUUCCAGAAGAGGUAAAAUGAAUCCUCCGGUUGUCACCCCCUCCUUCCUCGCUCCAAUUCCAUCAUUAAUCCCCGUUUGAGGAUUUGAGUGCUGCCGAGGACUGACAGACUCCAUGAGGUUCAGCUGCUGCCUGGUACAUGUGGUCACCUGCAGCUUCUUCAGCCCUACAUAUAUUUUGUGCUGUUUUAGACUGCUCUUUCUUCCAUUAAAUGAGAGAUUAGAUCUGAAUGGCCACGUGAUCUUCUGAGUCCCAUCUGUAAGAAUCUGCAUUUCCACGGAAUUGGGGGAGCAAACGUUCUCAAAACAUUCUUAAAUGCAAACCCGCAGGCACAGCAUGUGUCUGUCAACUCCAAGAGCAUUUGGAUGUUCGAAGGGAGAGGAUGUUUGACAUCUAACCCGUCGUGGAAAGAGGAGCCUCUACAGUGACAUGAAGGCAAUGGAUUCUCAGCAUUACAAGGCAAGACAGAACUUGAAGGAAGAAGGCUGGGAGGAAACCAAUGUUGAAUGAACACUGACUCUGUGCUCAGCCCUGAGCAAGCAGUGGAAUGCCCCUGGGCUGUGAGCCACGAAUUCAAAUCCCAGCUUGUAGAGCUGUUCUGGGGGUUAGAAGUUUGGGGUCCCUCGUUGCUGCACUCGUUCCAGGUUUGGGGCUGGCGCUGCCCUUCUGACCCCUCCCUAAAGUGGACACAGGAGAAGGAGCGGGGAGAAGAGACAGGCGGCCAGGAGACACCCUGUUGAGGGCUCCCUCUGCUUGCAACAGGACCUGCUGAGGUUGCAGCUGAAGUGCUGGUCUUCCCAGAGAAAACAACCCCUCAUUCUCAAAGGAUGAGAGUGAGCCCUGCGGGGCUGCAUGCUCUUGGCCAUGGGAGAUCAACUGUGGUCACAUAGAGUGUAAUCAGUGUGUAUUUAUGGAUCACUCACUACAUGCAAGACCGGGACACAGCCGGGAUUUACUGUGGGGCUGAAAGCAAGUCACUUAAAAAGGUAAAAAUUCAUGUCCUUUUAAUCUACUUUUCAGCAAGGAACAUCACGUCUGAAUGCUCGCGGCCUCUGCCUGCCCCGUGGGAUGGUGCUGGAAAUUAUACUCAUAUUUAGAUAGCAUUCUCUGCAAGUGGCUGCUGUUGUCCUUCCAUCGUCAGCACAGGCAGAUGCUGGGAGUACCCACCUUGGGGUGAGGUGGCAAGAGAGGGCCAGCUUGUAUCCGCCUCGUUGUCGUCCUUCCUUCCUGACUUGACUCUCUCCUCUGUGGCCUUCUCAGGAGUGGGAUGUGGUUGUGAGGAGAAUGUGCACUUUACCCCUCACCAGUCCAGAGAGGGGCACAUAGCCCAAACCUCUCCCCUUCCCAGAAACCUGCAAGUCCCCCUGGGUGCGCCUGUGUGAUGAGGCAGGCUCCGAGAGCCACAGGCUGGUGGGCCACUAGGAAGCAGUAAAGGAAGACAUUUUAUGAUUGUAGCUGGAGAUAAUGAAUUGAAAAGCUGGUCUCUGUUUCUGGAAAUGAUGCCAGGAGGCCCUCAAAAUAAACGCCCACCUGUCCUUCAGGUCUCAACACCUGUUGCUCUUGGGACAGAGAUCCCAGGCCCAAAAUAGGCACAGCUGCUAUGGAUGCUCGUCUUGCCCUCCUGGAGCUGAGACUGGGCCAUGUUUGGAAAUAUGUCUCCCUCCAUCCCCUCCUCCCAUCCUCAUUUGGAGCCUUAGGGCUUUAAGACGUGAGCUCUUUCCUCGCUCCCUCUCCCCAGUCUUUCUUGGGUAUCUCUGCUCCUCCCAUCACCUGUUCCUGGGCAUGGCAUAGGCAGUUGGUAAAUGACAGAUGAAUGAAUACAUGUACAAGGAAACACAGAUCUGAAAUUUCUAGCAGCAAAGUUUGGAGCAGGAAGCUCUGGCUGGCCCUGGGCUUUUUGCUAAGGGUGUUCUGGCUUCGCGUGGCAGCACCCCUCCCCACCGGGCCUUUGCCAGGACGCUCGAUCCUCUCUUCGGGCUUCUGAGCAGUGUGAAUUGCAAACAGCCAUGCCCACUCCCCAGGCCAAGAAAACCAAGUUCAUGGCCAGGAUUGCUCACAAAAAAAAAAAAAAAAAAAGAACCACUUCUGCCUUAUCAUUCUCUCUUUAUUACCGAAAUGCGGAGACAGAAAGUCAACAGAGAAAGAAUUGUUUUCCCCAAGGCCACACAGAUUGCUCCAACACUUGACUUUUCCUGCUAGGAACUCAAUCCAAGAGAUGGGCUUUCUUUUGUUCUCUGACUAUAAAAGGGUGUCACCUUGUCACCAUCUUCUAUCACACAGGACCCCUAUGGGCUUGGUUUGGUUUUGUUCUUUCAUCAUUAUUAUUUGGAAAGUUAUAUUUCCUUUACUGUCCUUGAGGUGUGAGGCUUCACCUCAUCUUGUCUCCAUAUCCCUGAGUCACUAAGGAGUCCUAUGUCAAUGACACCUCUCCAUAUGCUUUACCUAAGCUGCCCCUUCUCUCAGCAAGUUCGCGCCAGGCUUCCCCAUGAAGGCCACCUAAGGGUGUCUAUCGUCCCCCUCCUAAAUCUCCCCAGGACUUUUGAACAAGGGCCAUGUCCAGUUUAAUGUCACACAAAGAAGACUCAUCAAAGCCCAGGAGUUGGGAGUUCUUGCUCCUCACUGCCAUGGAAAGCAUGAAACAUCUGAGAUAAAAAUAAUCUGUGCCAUCCCCUGGCUCCGGAUGGACAGCAGUUGGGGCAUGAGCGCCUCCAGAAUGUCUCAGCAUUGCUGAGGGUAACCGGAUCGCCGCUCAGAUCCAGCAGGCAGCCUCAGAACCUCCCAGCUGCUGUUGUUUUUAGCACCGGGAUUAUUGGUAGGGGUGUAAAUAGACAUCUGUGUUCUGGGUGGCUCGCUCACCCCACAUUCCUAGGCACACUUGUUUUAUUAAAGCUCUCAGCUGUCGGGUGAUCCAGGCGUGGAGAAAUGAAAGGCCGCCCUCACCAGCUGGUGGUGGACUGCAAACUGCAACCAGUUUUCCCCCAUAAGGACAUGUUACUCCUAUUAGAAACUGUGUCCCUCACAUGUCCUUAAGAAGCGGGCCAUCUGCCAAUCAUAAAUCGAGAUCUCAGCCGUUCCAAAUAAAGAAAGAGUCUACCCUCCUUGCUGGCAGUCCUUUUAUAGUUGACAGAUUUUUUUUUUUAAUCUUGUGCUUGGCCAUGUAUUUCUUGUGUAAUUAAAAAAUUAUAAAAGGUAAUAAAAAAUACAAAUCCACUGCUAAGAGAUUUAAGACUCAAUAAAAAUUUCAGAAAGCCAGAGGUUUCUGGAUAGUAUGAGGAUUACAAGGAGAAGGUUAAUAAAUUCCAUGUCCCAACACCAGAAAAAAAGAAUAAAAGAGAAAAAACAAGGCUAUUUAUGAAAAGGAAAAGUAAUUAGAAAUGGCCCUUAAUGGCUGAGUGUGGUGGCUCAUACCUGUAAUCCCAGCACCUUGGGAGGCCGAGGCGGGUGGAUCACCUAAGGUCAGAAGUUCGAGAUCAUUCUGGCCAACAUGGUAAAACCCCGUCUCUACUAAAAAUACAAAAAAAUUAGCCAGGCAUGGUGGCGUGUGCCUGUAGUCCCAGCUACCUGGGAGGCUGAGGCAUGAGAAUUGCUUGAAACCGGGUGGCAAAAGUUGCACUGAGCCAAGAUCGCACCACUGCGCUCCAGCCUGGGUGACAGAGUGAGACUCCUUCUCAAUAAAAAUAAAAAAUAUAAUAAGAAAUGGUCCUUAAUUUGGAGAGGCUCACCCAAAAAAGUGAGCCUGAAGAGAAGGCGCCCUUCAUUCUUUUGCCACCCUGUUCUGGAGCCCAUGUACGAAAGAGCCAGUGGAUAUUGCAAAUGAGCUAAAGUCACCCAAGUUCCUACUGAAUGGUCAAAGGUCCUAUCUUAAGAGAGGCUCUCUGAGGAUGGGGUGGGCUGAGGUGGUGGACAAGAGGAGGGUUAUAGAGAAACACCUGGAGGACGCUAACAGAAACAGUCGAUCAUCAAAAAGAAAACACGAAGCACGCUUUGGGUUCUAUCAGCCCAGUUUCAACACAGCUUUACCCUGUGCGCCAGCUCUUUUGAGGGAUUUCGCCUGUCUAUGUGGCCGGCUGCCCCGGUAGAAGGUUAGUACUUUGUAGGGUAAAGGAGUCUUAGGAUCUAGAGAGAAUCCAGCUCUGCCAUUUUGACCUUGAACAAAUCACUGAGUUUCGUCUUUUCAUCUGUAAAGUGGGUGAUAAGGUCCAUCUCCUCAUCGCCAAGUCUGUAUGCUGAGGGCACGAGAGAGUGCAUGCCAAGUGCACAUGGGUGGAGUUCAGUAAAUAGUGGCUGAUCUCAUCCUCCUCCUCUCCAUGGUCGGAGGAGACCCCCUCUCUGGCUCGUGUGGCACGGCAGCUCCUGAUUUGGAAUGGAAUUGGUGCUUUCAUUUUUUGCUUCUUAAUAACACAGCUUACAUUUUCUAUAGUCGUGGGCAUCCUUUUUUUAUGGAAUAAAUGAACAUGGGUGACUUUGGUCAUAAUAUUCACUCUUAGAAAAUGAAUCUUUUCAUUUAUAUCCUUCACAAAAUCAGAGCCUAAUAGAAAUAGUCACAGGUCACUUCCAGCACCAAACUCCGCACCUUCUCCUUUGUGGGAAAUGUCACACUUUGCCAAUAAGUGGACACAGGGGGUUCCACGGCCCCAGGUAUUUUCAAGUGCAGAGGCACUCCAGUUCUGCAUAAAAUGCAUCAGGGGCCUCUUUUAUUAAUUCUUUAAGUCAUAAGUUCUGUAAAAUAAGUUUACUUCAACGAUCUCUCGCUUACUCUUCCUUUCUGGUAUGUACAUAUUUUACCACCUUUUUUUUUUCUUUUUGAGACAGAGUCUUGCUCUGUCUCCAGGCCGGAGUGCAGUGGUGUGAUCUUGGCUCACUGCAACCUCCGCCUCCUGGGUUCAAGCGAUUCUCCUGCCUC
rnacentral:lncRNA from 10 species